rnacentral:misc_RNA from 1 species
UUUCCGUAGGUGAACCUGCGGACGGAUCAUUACUGAGUGAGGGCCCUCUGGGUCCAACCUCCCACCCGUGUUUAUUGUACCUUGUUGCUUCGGUGAGCCCGCCUCACGGCCGCCGGGGGGCAUCUGCCCCCGGGCCCGCGAUCGCCCAAGACACCCUUGAAAUCUGUCUGAAGUUUGCAGACUGAGCGAAAACUAAAUAAGUUAAAACUUUCAACAACGGAUCUCUUGGUUCCG